AUGUUAACUUCACCUCAAGGACAGAAACAGAACCCCCCAAAAGCCGUGCAAAAAGUCCCACCUAGUGAAUCACAUAAAGAUUUGUGGCUUAGAUCUUCGUCGCUUAAGAAGCCACCGGAGCCGUUGCGUCGUGUGGUGGCAGAAUCUCUUUCGUCUUCUUCGCUUGCGGCUGUGGCUGAAGGAGUUAGCUCGCAUCAUCAAGGGGGCCCUUGAUUUUAUUUUAUUUUUCCAGUAUUUUUCCUCUUUAUUUUCUUCGCUUCAUUUUCUUUGAGAUUUUGUUUUGUUUUUCCAGUAUUUUUCCUCUUUAUUUUGGUUUUAAUUUUUUUUCAUAUUUGAAGAAUCUUCGAUUGUUUUCUAUAGACUCAUUUCUUGAUCGGAGUUUGGCUUUAAUUUAUGUCAGUUUGAAUGUCUCAGCAGUACUGACAGCGGCUUGUGGUUUUCCACAAUUUUACCUCUAAUUGAAGGCACGUAUAUAGUUAAAACUAUAUAAUCAGACCAUAUACAAUUAGUCAUUGAAAUUUUGAAGAAAAAAACAAACAAACGUGGCUUCAUGUCAUUCCCUUCUCUCCGUGGCUCCAUUUGUCCAGAGAUUUGAGGAGGAAGGAGCCUUGGUUUCGGGUCAAUCAAAGAAGAACUGUCGUUAGGGCAUCGAAUUGGUUCGAUCAAAAGUCUCCCUAUGAAACUCUUGAGUUAGAAAGGGAUGCUGAUGAAGAACAGAUAAAGAUUUCAUAUAGACGUUUGGCCAAAUUCUAUCAUCCUGAUGGUAUGCGUCCCUUUAAAGUUUCAUAAGUGAAAUAUGUGUUCUUACUAACUUGAUUUUGUUUUCUUCCAUCUUUUGGGCAUUGGUGUUGUGAUUGAGAAUGAAAAUUUUGCGUUGGAAUAUUUGGAGGCUGGGCAAAUUAAAUGUAGGUCUUUAAAUAAAGUGAAUAGAAGUUUAAAAAAUAGAAAUGGUUUAUACUAAACUCUGUUUUAUUGAUUACUGUUGAGGGUUAUAAAAUGAGCUGAACAACAAGGAACAUCAAGGGUUUAACUUUUAAGUAGCGGGAUUAAGGUAAUAUCGUAAGAGUUUAAUUGCCCUUGAAGGUGGCUUUUGCUUAGAAACAAAAAUAAAUAGUUCUGAUGUUCUAAAAGGUUAGAGAGUUUGGCCUUCAGAUAAUUUUGUAUGGCUUGCAGUUUCAGCUAAUGGGCUUUCAGGUGGAAUUGAACUAUUUGAAAUAUUAGGAGUUUUUGGUUGGUAAGAAAGGUGACUUGUGAUUUUACAUGUUGCCGGGAGAACUGUUUUGCAAACUUUUUGGUAGAGAUGAAAUCAUUGAUCUCAAUUGUUUCACGCUUGUUUGUGAUGAUUUCUGUCUUAUCUUCCAACAAUUCCCGAAAAGGCUUUUGUAUUUAGCUUUGGUGUCAUUCUUUGCUUUGUUCAUGAGCACUGCUUAGCUUAUUAAAUUAGAUCCAUUGUCUUUGUUUGGUCUUGUAUUAACCAUCCAUUGAAUCAUAAUGGUUGAAUCUCUUGAGUGUGAUUAUCUAUAAGAAGUAUUAGAAGAAACAUAUUAAUAAAAAAGCUCACAAGGUUAAAGUUUACAGAAAGUUAUUCCACUUAAGAGGUAGAUUGAUCUCUAAAAUAAAUAUUAUUUUUCCAUCUGUCUGCUAGGCUAGUUACAGAACUGCUGAAUUCUGGAUUGAAAUCCAUUUCUUUAAAGAACUGCUAGAAUGAUGUCCCUUGAAAGUGCUUGAUUAAUUUUGCUAUUUAUGUCUGAUUCUUGCUAAUAUUUGUGAUUCCAGCUGGCAUUGAUAACCGUAAGUAGUAGAUCUUCAUAAGCAUUGGUUAAUUCACAAAAGACUUGCACUGCUUGAGUAUAUGAGGUUCCUAUAAGUGAAAUAAAAAAUAGUAUAACUAUCUCAAAGUUUUAAGUGUCUAUGACGUGUUUGAUAUUUCAUAUCAAAAUACACAUCCAUAGCGUAGCCCUUUUAAUUAAUGGAUUUUAUUUGUGGAAGUUUUCCUAUGAAUAGUAAGAUGGUUUUCUUAACUACAUAACAAUUUUGGGGGACGAAACUGGGGACAGAACUGCUUUCUUAACAAUUUUAGUAGUUUUUUUUUUUUCUAUAAUCUUUGCAAGAGCUGUCAAGGAUGACAAUGUUACGAAAUCUCCGUGCAGGAGGCAGAGUUGUUGACAAAUAUCACAGUAAUUUUUGUCUUUUUACAUUUCAAAUAAAACCAUUUUUAUUUUAUUUUAUACAUGUUGAUAUUUGAACUCAUUAGCAUCCAUUUCUUCAUCUUCAUUUCUUGAAGCAUCAGAGGUUUCUUGAAGCUUUAAGGUUGUAUGGUCGUGGCUGGCGCCAAAUAGAAGAGCAUGUAGGCACCAAAUCUGCUGUUCAAAUUUGAAGCCAUGCUCAAAGGUUUUUCUCUAAGGCUCAUUGCUUUGAGUUCAUUACAAGAUUUCCUUGAUUAAGUAAAUGUAUUAUAUCUUUUAUUACCAAGAUUUACUUGAUUAAGAAAAUGCAUUGUAUUUUUUAUUACCUUGCAAUGUGUAUAGUCAUAGGCAGGUUCAACUAGUCAGUCUGCUUCUCAUAUGUAUUAUUUAUUUUAGUUUUGAUUCUAAGUUUUUAUUUUUACUUUAAUAUUUACGACAACUUGAGUUCUAA